rnacentral:rRNA from 1 species
GCGAGCGUUGUCCGGAAUCACUGGGCGUAAAGGGCGCGUAGGCGGCUUUUCAAGCGUGCGGUGAAAGCUCGGGGCUUAACUCCGAGUCUGCCGUGCGAACUGGGAGGCUUGAGUCUGGUAGAGGUCGAUGGAAUUCCGGGUGUAGCGGUGGAAUGCGUAGAGAUCCGGAAGAACACCGGUGGCGAAGGCGGUCGACUGGGCCAGUACUGACGCUGAGGCGCGACAGCGUGGGGAGCAAACAGG